AACCACUAUUUGCAGACUUUAAAUUUCCAGAAACAACAACUAAAUGCACAAAAUAACAAAAUGAUAAAAACCUAAACACACAAAAAAAAUGCUAAAAGAAAUAAACCUACAAAAGACUAACUAAACACCCUAAAACUCAACACAACACAAAUAAACAUGCGACACGCACACACAAUAACACACACACAAAACAGAACAUCACACUCACAACACAAGACAAAAUACAACAUGCACUAACACAACUAAAGACCUAAAACCGAACCGUUGGUCCCCGACAAUGACGCCAAAAUUUGAUGGGUGUCGCGGCCCAUACAAAUUUGAUUGCAUAUUAGGAAUGCAGUAUAUACUAGGAAAUGACUCCUAGGUCGUCUCUCAAGGAACAAACUGUGGUUCAGGAAUCAGGUCAGACACGAAGUAGGGGGGGUUUGUGAAAGGUUUUGAGACGAGAAUUGAGCUAAAUUAAAUGCAUGAAAAUUAAACAUAACAGAACUGAAAGCAUUAAAGUGAACAAAAACAAUAAAUUAAACAAUCCUAAAACAAGAUGUGUACUAAUUAACAUGCAAGAAAUAAAUGACAAAACUCUUAAAUUGAAAUGUUGAACUAACAAAAUCAAAUACAUAUAUAAAGCUUGGAACUUGUAAAACAAAGUCACCACUGAUUCAAGCAUCAACAUAAUAUAAAGAAAUAUAAAAAGACUUUUUUUUAGAGCUAAAGCAAAAUAAAAAAAAAUUGCAAAGGCUACGGCAAUGACAUUGCUAAAAAAAAUAAAAUGCAUCUUCCUUUUUUUUUUCUUAAAGCAAAGCUUUUAAAUGAAAAUUGAAUAAAUGUUUCUCUCAUUCUAGCUAAAGAAAAAGAAAAUUAAAUGUUGUCUGCACCUAAAGUAAAUAUACAUCUACUUCUAAAAUAACC
rnacentral:lncRNA from 1 species